ensembl:lncRNA
GCCGCGCCCGCCGUCCUCGCCGCGGUCUUCUCUUCAGGCGCCUACCGCGGCUGGCAAGUCCCUGCUGGCAGAGCAGCGGAGGUCCCCGAAUCAACUUUCAAUUCCCCCUCUGCUUCUGCCUCACCAUUCUCUUCUCCGCGAAAGAUGGCUGUUUGGAGAAGGGGGCGAAGUUAGGGGGUCCUCGGCGCGGGGCGAAGGAGGGCGCGACAGCCUCGGCGGGAGCGGACGGAGGUUUCCCCUUUCCCAGCCUCUCGUGGACCAGCGUUACCAGCUGAAGGAAGGUUGUGAAUCUGCAUCCCAGCCCAUUAGUCCUUCUCCUGAUUCCCGUGAUGAGUUCACCAGUGCAGCCUGGUCAGUUUGGUUGUUUCUUAAGCUAUUAACAGAUGUAAUAUGAAAGAUGUUGCUUUGUGUUGCUUCAAACCAAGCAAUUUAACUUAUGAAAGGACUUUUUAUUCUGAUGAGGAUGUGUGGAUACAAUGAAUUUUGAAUUUUGUGUUCUAUAGCUAAUCCUUUGUUAUGUAACCAUCUUGCUUUCCAGGCAAUUAAUUUCAUUUGAAUUAUUAUCUGAGCACUGGGCUUUAGUUCUUCUGCUAAUGUAACAUUUGGAUUGAAUUUUAUGAAGUUAUAAAUAUUUAUUAAAUAUGUUGUAGGCAUCUAAUUCAUAUCCAUAGUCUUUCUGAGUCCGUGUCUGUAUGUUUUAAAUUGUGUCAUAGGCUUUGGAUAUCAGCUUGUGGACUCAUUUUCCUCCUCCUUCUCUUUGACACACAGGAAGGAUAUUUCUCCUCCCUGCCCUUCUUUGCUGCCACUCCUGUUUCCUACAUACAUGUUUAAUUAUAAUCUCAGCACCUGCUUCCUCUGAGUCCAGUGUAAUGUGUGGCUCAUGUAGUGUUGUGAUAAGCACAGCCAACACCCAUUUCUCCAGGAACAGGGUGUCACUUUGGGAACAAACACAAUCCAAGUCUUAAAAAUGAUGGAGUAGUUUCAGAUAUCAUAUGUUAAACAUAGAGAAAUUUAAAAAGAAUUUUCUGUUUGAAUCAUUGUAGGAGUAUUUAUUUCUAUAUAUUCUUUAAAAAAAAAUCUCUCAGCACGUUGGUAUCUUUGAGUUAUCCAACUCCUGAGGUUGAAGCUAAUGUAAUAUUUUAUUCAGAGUUUAUAAAGGGAAAUCUUUUGCCAAGAUUUUCAGUCUGUGGAGUGCCACACCCAGAUCAGCUGCUCUGGAAUUCCAAUGUCUCAUCAACCUUUCCCAGAGCCCCAACAGGCUGCCAGCUUGUAUGUUGAAUUUGGAACUGAAAGGUUUUGGCGCGUACAACUGUAAUUGUUGAUUCUAAAUGAUGUAGUAAAGAUAUUCCAGAAUCUUUCUUCACAAUCAUGAUUUAUAAUUGGCGUUGUCAUCUGAAUAAGCACAUGAAGAGUUACACAGGCCUCUUAUCUCUGAGUCCUUGCAGUGCAGUGUUUCUCCAACUUUAGCAUCACUGGGAGGGCUUGUUAAAAUCAAGCCCCAUUCUCAAAGUUUUUGAUUCAGUAGAUCUUAGGUGGGUCCCAGGAAUUGUGAUACUUAUAAGUUUCCCCCCGGUGAGGCUACUGCUGCCUGAGGACUACACUUUGGAAAGCACUGAUCUAGCUUGCUAGUCCCGUUCCUUCCUCCACCUCUGCUUGCCUCCAUCCUCUCCUCCCUCCACACCCCCACCCUUACAGGCAGCCCUCUGUGCAUUACUUAUCACAAUUAUGGUGUAUUAUUACUGUCCUUUCUAUUGAGUUGGACUUAAAAUGAUGUGUGUGUUUUAUAUAUGCAUAUAUUACAUUUAAAUAUACAUUAUAUAUUGAUUUGUAUAUAACUUUAAUGUUUCAAAAUUACAUAAUUUAAAAGAGGCAUUUAAUUUAGAACUACCAUAGUCAAACAUUUUUUUUUCUUGUGGUAGAAUAUGUUAGAGUCAUUAAAAACAUAUUACAAGCAAUUGGAACAAAUUGGCUAAGUAUGAAUGUGGCAGAAAAUUUCCUCCAUUUCUAAAGUUACUGUCUAAAAUUUAUAUAGGGGAUUGUCUUUAAUUGUAAAGGACAGAAACUAGACUUUUAUAAAAUUGUCCCUGUCCCUUUAUUCUCUGCCUUCCUCCCCCAUAUCCUGUCCACAUUGUUUACCUCCCAGUUUUACUUCACAGAAGAGUGGCAGGGCAGAUUGAACCAUGGGAAAAUGGAAUUUUUGACAGUGACAGCAACUGUAUCCAAGUGAAACAUUUGAAAUGGCAUUUCUAUGUAAUCAUUAAAUGGGUAAAAAGUGCAGAUACCCUUGAUGGUUGAAGGUUGAAGGAUGCAACUAUAUGGGGAAAUUUUGAAUCCAAAUUAUAAUUAAACCCAAUUUAUCAUACUUAACUAACUUGUAAAUAGUGCAAGUACAGCAAUUUCAGUGUCUAUAUGGUCUUUUUUUAGCAUCUUUCUAGGAUGUAUGGACUUGGACCCACUUAUUUUUUUCUUUCCUUUUUAAAUUUAAGUAUAAUUAAUGUAUAAUAAUAUUUAUUUUACAGGUUACAGUAUAAUGUCACAAUUUUUAAAGCUUAUACUCCAUUUAUAGUUAUUAUAAAACAUUGGCUAUAUUUUCUGUGCUGUAUAAUAUAUCCUUGUAGCUUAUUUUAUACGUAUUGGUUUGUACCUCUUAACCCCUUAACCCCAUAUUGCCCCUUCCCUCUUCCCUCUCCCCACUGGUAGCCAACUAGAUUGCUCUCUAUAUCCCUGAGUCUGUUUCUUUUUUGUUACAUUCACUAGUUUGUUGGGUUUUUUUUUAGAUUCCAUGUAUCUGUCUUUCUUUGCUUUGUUUCACUUAGCAUAAUACCCUUCCAGUCCAUUCAUCUGUUGCAUAUGGUAGAAUUUCACAAUGGACCCACUUAUUUUUAAUGCGAAACAUGUAAUACCAUUAGACACUAUCGUAAGUGGUUAGACUUCCAGUUUAACCCAUUGAACCCUACUUAAAGAUAACUACUUUGCAGUGAAUGAAUACAGAAAAAUUUUGACAGCCUUUGAAAAAGAGAAUCAAUACAAUGUAGUAAGGAAUAUUUAAAAAUUUUGCAUGUUUAGAGAAAAGUGGACCAAUUUGACAGGAAAACAAACAAGUGAGAAAAUUUGAUGGAGAUAGUUCAUGUGAACUAUGGGCACCUUAGAUCAUUUCUCAGAAGGAUCAGCAUUACUUCUAAUUUCAUUCUAAAAGUAAUGAUUUUGGGGAGGCCAGUGUUAGGGUGAUUUCACUAUUCCUUUUCUCAUCUUAUGUAUGGAACAGAGGGAGGAAAUGGUGUGUGUGUGUGUGUGUGUGUGUGUGUAAAAUACAUGGUCAGAAGUAACAUUUACUGAACUUUGUGAGAUAAAGAAGAAAAGGAAAACAGAAGAGUGCAUGCAUCUAACGCUUAAGGGAGAAGAAGGAAACAUGAUUAAAGAGGAUUUGAGGUUAAAUAGAAAUCUUCUUGUCCAUGCAGUGUAUGUUGUUGGUUAUGUAGAAAGUGGCUGUGAAGUCAUGCUUCAAGGCGCAUGUGAAGACAGAGAUGUAUAUGUAUAGCUGUGUGUGUAUGUAUAGCUCAGCUUCUUAUGCUCAGGAUGAUAACAAUUUAUAGCAUUAUUUUAAAAUACAGAGUUCCUGUAUGUAAAUGGAAUACUUAAGAUGGUCAGAUACAUUGGACUUCUUUUCAAAAACACAAAGUGAAGUAAUACCAAAGACUUUGAUUAAUUCCACAUAUACCUGACACUGGCUCACAACUAGUAAUAUUUGACGGUUGCAAUCAGCAUACACUGACCCUGAGAAUGUUGAUUUUAUAAUUUGAAAAUGUCCUUUGAGGCUGCUAUUUUGAUGAGGAAGUUCUUGCUGGCCAUGAUACUUGUUCAGCUAGAAGAGGGAGUGAGAAAUGAGACAGCCACAAAGUGAAGCUCAUUUGACUUUUGAGUCAUUAAAAUUUCGUUAUGUACUUUCUUUCCUAUGCAUGAUUCUAGUCUGGUCUGUUGAGAACAGCAUUUUACAGAGGGGUUUUUUUUUUUUUUUUUUGGUCUUUUUGUCUUUUAGGGCUGCAGUCACAGCAUAUGGAGGUUUCCAGGCUAGGGGCAAUUGGAACUGUAGCCAACAGUCUACUCCAGAGCCAUAGCAACACUGGAUCCAAGCAGCAUCUGCGACCUACACCACAUCUCAUGGCAACGCUGGAGGCCAAGGAUCGAACCCACGUCCUCAUGGAUGCUAGUCAGGUUUGCUAACUGCUGAGCCAUGACAGGAACUCCUACAGCGGUCUUAACCAAUUGUGUUUGGGAAGUUUUUAUGAAUGAAGUCUGAACUGAAGAAAGUCAUAGCAAAUAGAUCAGGUGGGUAGGAAUCCUAUAUUUAUUGUAAGUACAAUCUAUGAUUAGAGACCUGAAAUGCAUUCUGCAUAUAAAAAGGAAAACGUUCUGGCCACAGGCAUUAAAACAUUCUUCUGCUACUAUUAGUGUGUAUCUUAUGAUGCCAUGUAUUUUCUACCGGUAAGAAAUAACCUAAUUGUUUGACUUAAAAAAAGGAUUUUUCUUACAUCUCCUUUUAAAAAAAAACUACGUAAAGGGAAUUAAAUCGACCUUGUGCAAUAAUCAUCCAUUUAUUUUGCUUUUGUUCCACGAGGGGCUCUAAAGAGUUAUUAUGCACCAGAAAAAGUAGACUUAACGUCGAUUGCUCCAGAAAUUCUUUAUAGUCAAUGUUUGAAAUAGAGUGGGUUUUUUGUGUUUUUUUUGAAACUUUUCUCUGGGAUAGUGUGAAGUCUUAUUUUCCCCAUGCAUUGAUCCCAUUCUCAUGAGAAUUUUAUCUCAAUAUUCAGCUAUAGUUGAUAUCAAGUACUAAAUAUUACUGUCUUGAUCAUGUGUUCAAUCAAACAAGAAGUACUGAUCUUUGAAUAUAGAAUUCACUGGUUUUUAUUUUGAUCUUGCUGCCCCAAGAAGGAUCUAAGUUAGAGUACUAGGUAUUGCUUUUGGACCCUGAGGAGCCUGAAUGGAGAGAAGACUAUAUGAAUAAGACUGGCAGCCAGCUGCUGCAAUUGAGAGUCAUUUAUUUAUUAUUUUAUUUUUUAAAUUACUCAACGAAUUUAUUACAUUUAUGGUUGUACAAUGAUCAUCACAAUCCAAUUUUGUAGGAUUUCCAUCCCACACCCCAGAGUCAUUCAUUUAAAUCUUAUUAAGCAUACAUUCUGUGUUAGGCAGUGGGGACACAAAGAGUACUAAAAACGUUUCCACCCUUUAUCAACAGUAUCAUUUAGUGGGGGAGACAGAGUAAAGAGUUUUGGCCCAUUCACUGUGUUAAGUGUUUUAAUAAAUAGGGGAACAGAAGUUAAUUUCUUCUGUACAGCAUAUAGGUGCCAUUUAGUUAAUUUUUAUCAGGAUUGCUAGGUGGCAGAAGAAACGGCUUUUAAGGCUCAUCUAAGCUAGAGUUUUCCUAACAUAUCAGAUAAUAAAAAUUAUGUGAUGUUCUUGUUAAGAAUACAGAUUCUAAGACCUCCCCCAUUCUCUCUGCCCUCCCCCCAAAGACUUAAUGCAGUAGAUCUGGAGGGGAUAUUAAAUAACAUAUUGCAUGUUGCUCUCCACUGUGACUUUUCAAAAGUCUAGAAGUGUUCUUUAAUUUGUCUGAUAAAUACUAGUGUUCCUCAUUGAGACUCUGGAAAAAUAAAAAAAUACAUCAUUAAAUUCUAUCUCAGUAUAGGUAUUUCUCCUGUGAGCUAAGCUGUAACUCAGGUAUCUUGCUUUCUGAUAAACAAAAAGAUAGUGCUGUUGAAAACUAGAGGAGGUAAUACUUUUCAGGAAAAUUGUAGGGCUUUAUGUGUAUUCUCUGCUAAUAAACCAUCAUGAUUUUAUGUGGAUUUGAACCAAAGAGAUUCUUAAUAAAUAGAGUACAUUUUUUUUCCUUAGAACAAAUUUCUAACUAAUUUAACCCAGGUCAUAUUUGUAGUAUGGUCCCAAAAUUAUAGAAAACAUGAUUUGUGCCUGGAUGUUUUUAAGAGUAAAUGAAUUAGGCUGCAUCAACCCUAGAAUGAUUCCAGUAUGACUUUUAAUUUUGAUGAAUCUAAUUUAUGUAAUUUAAUUUUGAUGAAUAGGCAACCAAAGGAAUUUUACAAACAUAGAGCACAGUGGAUGUGAUGCCCCCUGAAAUUACAUAAGGUUCUGGCCUUGUGGACUCUUCACUGAGUUUGAAUGGUAGAGUUACGAUAGCUGUAUGGCCAAGUCCUAUAACAUUAGUUUU